UCUUGAUCCCAGUGAAUGGAGUUCUUAAUGGAAUUUUAUUGCUGUUCUCCGUUUACUACGUUUUCAGAGUUCUGUACCCAGACACACUCUCCCGUACUUUGGAAUUCAUUCAGAGAUGUUUGCUCAGAAUGAAUCCCAAAACUGGACACAAGAGAGCAUC